rnacentral:tRNA from 1 species
GCCCUCGUAGCUCAGCAGGAUAGAGCAAUUCCCUUCUAAGGAAGAGGCCGCGUGUUCGAAUCACGCCGGGGGCA